UACGGAGGGGGCAAGCGUUAUUCGGAAUUAUUGGGCGUAAAGGGCGCGUAGGCGGCUUGAUAAGUCAAAGGUGAAAUCCCUCGGCUCAACUGAGGAACUGCCUUUGAAACUGUCGAGCUUGAGGCCGGGAGGGGGUAGCGGAAUUCCCAGUGUAGCGGUGAAAUGCGUAGAUAUUGGGAGGAACACCAGUGGCGAAGGCGGCUACCUGGACCGGUUCUGACGCUGAGGCGCGAAAGCGUGGGUAGCAAACAGGA
rnacentral:rRNA from 1 species